rnacentral:rRNA from 1 species
GUAUAGCAAUAGCUAAUUGCAUCAAUGAAUGUCUAAAUAAUUGAUGCAAUAUCGACUCUGUUGAAUAAAAUUCUAGGUAGAAUUAUGAUAAUGACAUUGUCUGCCUAUGUGUCUUGACCAAAUUACGUGCCAGCAGUCGCGGUAAUACGUAGAAGACUAGUGUUAUUCAUCUUUAAUAGGUUUAAAGGGUACCUAGACGGUAAAUCAAGCCUGCAAUAUGGGACUAAUGUACUAGAGUUACUUACGGGGGGGUAUUAAAGUACUGCUGGUGUAGAGAUGAAAUUCUGUCAUACCUCGUUUCUGAAGAAACACUAUGGCACAGGUAUAGGCGAAAGCAUCCCCUUAUGUGAUAACUGACGUUGAAGGACGAAGGCUUUGUGUAGCGAACAGGAUUAGAUACCCCAGUAGUCAAAGCAGAAAAUGAUGAAUGUCAUAGAUUAGACAGUUUAUUCUAUAAAUGAAAGCGUAAGCAUUCCACCUCAAGAGUAAUUUGGCAACAUUGGAACUGAAAUCAUUAGACCGUAUCUGAAACCAGUAGUGAAGUAUGUUGUUUAAUUUGAUAAUACGCAAAAAACCUUACCACAAUUUGAAUAUUUAGAUUCAUUUACAAGCGUUGCACGGCUGUCUUCAGUUAAUGUCGUGAGAUUCUGGUUAGUUCCAUUAAUUAACGUAAACCCUUACUUUAUUUUUAUAUAGAGUUGUUCCCCACUAGAUUGGAUAAGAUAACAGGG